UACAGAGGGUGCAAGCGUUAAUCGGAAUGACUGGGCGUAAAGGGCGCGUAGGCGGAUGAUUAAGUUAGAUGUGAAAUCCCUGGGCUUAACCUAGGAUGUGCAUAUAAUACUGGUUGUCUAGAGUAGAGUAGAGGGAAGUGGAAUUUCCGGUGUAGCGGUGAAAUGCGUAGAUAUCGGAAAGAACACCAGUGGCGAAGGCGGCUUCCUGGACUCAUACUGACGCUGAGGCGCGAAAGCGUGGGUAGCAAACAGG
rnacentral:rRNA from 1 species